rnacentral:rRNA from 1 species
AAAGGAAUAGACGGGGACCCGCACAAGCGGUGGAUGAUGUGGAUUAAUUCGAUGCAACGCGAAAAACCUUACCUACCCUUGACAUGUCUGGAAUCCUUUAGAGAUAGAGGAGUGCUCGCAAGAGAACCGGAACACAGGUGCUGCAUGGCUGUCGUCAGCUCGUGUCGUGAGAUGUUGGGUUAAGUCCCGCAACGAGCGCAACCCUUGUCAUUAGUUGCUACGAAAGGGCACUCUAAUGAGACUGCCGGUGACAAACCGGAGGAAGGUGGGGAUGACGUCAAGUCCUCAUGGCCCUUAUGGGUAGGGCUUCACACGUCAUACAAUGGUCGGGACAGAGGGCUGCCAACCCGCGAGGGGGAGCCAAUCCCAGAAACCCGAUCGUAGUCCGGAUUGCAGUCUGCAACUCGACUGCAUGAAGUCGGAAUCGCUAGUAAUCGCGGAUCAGCAUGUCGCGGUGAAUACGUUCCCGGGUCUUGUACACACCGCCCGU